GUGAACAACGAAGGGCGCGCGGUGGAUGCCUAGGCUCUCGGAGGCGAUGAAGGACGCGAUAAGCCGCGAUAGGCCACGGCGAGGUGCAAGUAACCCUUGACCCGUGGAUUUCCGAAUGGGGCAACCCGGCUGGAUAGAUUCCAGUCAUGCAUUAAUGCAAGCGAACGCGGGGAACUGAAACAUCUCAUUACCCGCAGGAGAAGAAAACAAAUAGUGAUUCCCCCAGUAGUGGCGAGCGAACGGGGAAGAGCCCAAACCGCUGCCGUUUCGGCGACAGCGGGGUCAUGGGACCGCGACAUUCGACGGAAGACGAAGUGCAAUUACCUGGAAAGGUAAGCCGUGGAGGGUGACAGCCCCGUGCACGACACCUCUUUCGAAGAUAGCGGAAUCCCGAGUAGGGCGGGACACGAGAAAUCCUGCCUGAAUUCGCCAGGACCCCCUGGCAAGGCUAAAUACUCCCGAGAGACCGAUAGUGAACCAGUACCGUGAGGGAAAGGUGAAAAGUACCCCGAGCAGGGGGGUGAAAUAGACCCUGAACCCGCGCGCCUACAAGCGGUCGGAGCGGAGUAAUUCCGUGACGGCGUGCCUUUUGCAUAAUGAGCCUACGAGUUAGUCGUCACCAGCGAGGUUAAGGGCUUCAGGCCCGUUAGCCGAAGUGAAAGCGAGCCUUAACAGGGCGUCAAGUUGGUGGCGCUAGACGCGAAACCUUGUGAUCUACCCACGAGCAGGUUGAAGUCGCGGUAACACGUGAUGGAGGACCGAACCGGUAAACGUUGAAAAGUUUUCGGAUGACUCGCGGGUAGGGGUGAAAGGCCAAUCAAACUGGGAAAUAGCUCGUACUCUCCGAAAUGCAUUUCGGUGCAGCCUGUGAUGUUCUGUUCCAGAGGUAGAGCUACUGGUUGGACGCGAGGGCUUCACCGCCUAUCAAAUCCGGAUAAACUCCGAAUGCUGGAACACGAAAUCAUGGAGUGAGCCCGCGGGUGCUAAGGUCCGCGGACGAGAGGGAAAGAACCCGGACCACCGGCUAAGGUCCCGGAUGGACAGUUAAGUUGAUCAAACGAGGUGGGAUCGCGGAGACAGCUAGGAUGUUGGCUUGGAAGCAGCCAUUCAUUUAAAGAGUGCGUAACAGCUCACUAGUCGAGCGAUCCCGCGUGGAUAAUACACGGGCAUUAAACUGUCAACCGAAGCCGUGGGGUCAGUUAAUCACUGACCGGUAGGAGAGCAUUCCUGCCAGCUUGGAAGGUCACCCGCGAGAGUGACUGGAGCGGCAUGAAAAGCAAAUGUAGGCAUAAGUAACGAUAAUGGGGGCGAGAACCCCCCACGCCGCAAGACCAAGGAUUCCCCGGCAAUGUCAAUCAGCCGGGGGUCAGCCGGCCUCUAAGGCUCACCCGAAGGGGGAUGCCGACGAGAAACGGGUUAACAUUCCCGUGCUUCUCGUCACCGUGACGCGGUGACGGGGUGAUGAACGGACCGCGCGCUGACGGAAUAGCGCGUUGAAGGCCGUACCCGAUGACGGUGGUAGUCAAGCACGCCACCCGAGGCGAUAGCCGAUAGUACCACGAGACCCCGGUCGAGUGGAUAGUGUCCGGGCAAUUUACCCCCAAGAAAACCCGCUAAACUUCAAGUGACGAGGAACCGUACUGUAAACGGACACACGUGGUCGGGUAGAAUAUACCAAGGCGCUCGAGUGAUUCAUGGUCAAGGAACUAGGCAAAAUAGUCCUGUAACCUCGGGAAAAAGGACGCUCUAGUGAUAGAGCCGCAGAGUAAUGGCCCAGGCGACUGUUUACCAAAAACACAUGGCUAUGCUAAAUCGAAAGAUGACGUAUAUGGCCUGACACCUGCCCGGUGCCGGAAGGUUAAGAGGAGAGCUCAUCGGAAACGAGAAGGUUUGAAUUGAAGCCCCGGUAAACGGCGGCCGUAACUAUAACGGUCCUAAGGUAGCGAAAUUCCUUGUCGGGU
rnacentral:rRNA from 1 species